ACGAACGCUGGCGGCAGGCCUAACACAUGCAAGUCGAGCGCGCCCUUCGGGGUGAGCGGCGGACGGGUGAGUAACGCGUGGGAACGUGCCCUUUUCUACGGAAUAGCCUCGGGAAACUGAGAGUAAUACCGUAUACGCCCUUUGGGGGGAAGAUUUAUCGGAAAAGGAUCGGCCCGCGUUGGAUUAGGUAGUUGGUGGGGUAAUGGCCUACCAAGCCGACGAUCCAUAGCUGGUUUGAGAGGAUGAUCAGCCACACUGGGACUGAGACACGGCCCAGACUCCUACGGGAGGCAGCAGUGGGGAAUCUUAGACAAUGGGGGCAACCCUGAUCUAGCCAUGCCGCGUGAGUGAUGAAGGCCUUAGGGUUGUAAAGCUCUUUCAGCUGGGAAGAUAAUGACGGUACCAGCAGAAGAAGCCCCGGCUAACUCCGUG
rnacentral:rRNA from 1 species